UUUUAUGAGAGUUUGAUCCUGGCUCAGGACGAACGCUGGCGGCGUACCUAAUACAUGCAAGUCGAACGCUUCUUUUUCCACCGGAGCUUGCUCCACCGGAAAAAGAGGAGUGGCGAACGGGUGAGUAACACGUGGGUAACCUGCCCAUCAGAAGGGGAUAACACUUGGAAACAGGUGCUAAUACCGUAUAACAAUCAAAACCGCAUGGUUUUGAUUUGAAAGGCGCUUUCGGGUGUC
rnacentral:rRNA from 1 species